rnacentral:lncRNA from 1 species
UUAUCGAAGGUAAGCGGGAAGUUCCCUAGGCAUGUGAUCUGGACUGGCGUCACCUGCAAGAAUAAGUACCAGUCUAAACCAGCUUACUAGGUAGAUGUGCCAGCUAUCCUACUUUGUAAUAAAAGCAUUUGUACUAUGUUGGUAUUCUCCCUAAUAUAUAAAGGGAAUCCUUGCCAAUUUGGAGGAUAUCUAAUACUCAAGAUUAAAUACACAAGAACAUUCUCUCUUCUCUCUAACAUAUUCUCUUGAUUUCAUUACUUCCAUUUAUUGCUUAUAUCCAUUAUGUUCUAUUUAUUGUUCUUCAUUUAUUGCUUAUCAUUGAUCAUAAAGAGCCUUCAUCGUAGCUCUCAUAACUGUUAUUCCUCCCUCGAUUGCCCUAAGUCGGCCACCAGACUCGACCUUGAGGCCCCAUAUACGCUAGCUCGAGGCCUAGAUCUUCAGUCGUUUGGUUUGACUAUCACAUAGUUUUCAAGCUAUAAUCUUGCUUUCUAAUCUUUUACUUAGCAUCCACUGUCUAACAACUAGCAUAAAAAUAAAUCACGUAUUUUUAGAACCGCAAAAUUAAAUUUAAUUGUUAUUACCAUUUUCAUGGUAAACAAUUUGAGCCCACUGUGGGGCUAAAAAUAAUAGUGAUUAGUUUCUUGCUGGUUUACUGCACAAAGUAAAUCAUCUCUCACACUUUUUCUUGUCCAAGAUCUUGAUUUCAGGUCAAGAUGCCUAAACCAGUAAAUGUGCCUGAAAAUAACUGCCUCAAAAACUAUGGAAAGGGCAGUAUGGUUAUUUCAGGUAUGGCUGUCCAACGGGAUGGGCCGGCCCGGCCCGGCCCACGUCCCGUCCCGCGUCCCAUCCCGCCCCGUCCCACUUCAAGUUAAACGGGAUGGGUCAAUGUUAAACGGAACACGGGAUGGGACGGGACGACCAUUUCGUCCCGUUUCGUCCCGUCCUGUCCCGUCCUGCGUCCCGCCUGAAUUUUUUUUUUUAAACUCUAGCCGUUGGGCAACGACUUAAAUUGCAAAAUAGCCAUUGCCAAUGGUCAAAACAGCCCCUACCCCCCCCACCCCUACCCCUCCCAACUUUUAAUAUAACCCUUAAGUUUAUUAAAUUACACUUUGACCCUAUUUUUACUAUAAAUACCCUCCAUUCUUCUUCAUUUUUUCCCACAAAAAAUUAAUCUUCUCUCUCAAAUCUCUUACAUUUUAAUAUUGUAUCUAUAUUAUUCUCUUAAUUUUGUUAUUAUCAACUAUUAAGUAUCAACUAUCAAGUAUCAAGUGAUAACUUUCAAGUUUCAAGUAUUUGGGCAAAUAUUUUGGAGCAACUUUCAAACUUCAAAUUAAUUCGUCAAGUAUUUGGAGCAAUAUUUUGGGCAAUUUCUUCAAGUUUGAAUAUUUAAUCACGGUGCACUCGUUCCAUCUCCUAAUUUUAAUAUAUAAUUUUUUGGUAUCAUUUUAAUGCUUAAUUUUUGUGUUAGCUUUUGUUAAUUUAAUUUCGUAUUUAAAUUAUGGCACCUAAAAAUGUAUUUGGCAUUUUUAAAAAAAGUAGUAAAAAAAAUAGUAAAGGUGAAAGUAAUAAUAAUCCUAAUCCUAAUCAAUCCUAACCCUUAUCCUAGACCUAGAAUUAGAAAACAUAUAGAUGAAAUGACUCAUGUUGAUGAAACUUCAUUUUUCCAACCCCCCACAUUUUAUGAUGUUAAUAUCGGAGAACAACUAGAUCAAGAAACUUUACAAAGACAAUUUGGCAAUGAUAUUUUUUUGAGGGCGAAGAAAAUAAGGAAGAAGAAUUAGAUGAAACACCCACUAGUCCCGCAAAACAAGCUCCAACUUAGAGUCAAUCUCAGUUUGGAGCUUUACCCCAUGUACCCCCUAUAAGGGGUAAGCCUAAGGCUGAACGUUCCAAAACAUCACUUGUAUGGGAAUUUUUUAAACAUGAUAAAGUCAAUCAUCGUGCUAUAUGUGAAAAAUGUAAGCAACAAUUUGCACACACAACAAAUGGUGGGAGGGGGGGUUUAAAUAGACACUUAAGAAAGGAUCACAAAUCUUUAUGAAUACAAGCUAACAUAGAAUCCGGAAAAAUUAUAGAUUCUACCAUCAGUACUGGCACUCCUUGUGGAUCUGGUUCUAAUCAAAUUCAACAACAACUUGACCCUGCUUCUGGUCAUGUUUUACGCCCCUAUAACAAAUAUAGAGAUCGUGAGAACUUAGCAAAAAUGGUGGUUGUAUGUGGCUUACCUUUUACUUUUCCUUCUCACCUUUCUUUUGUGCAUUAUAUACAAGAAACUUAUAACCCUACUUUUCAAGGUUUUCCUUAGACCACGGGUAGAAAUGAUGUUUUUAAAUUUCAAACCGAAUAUCUUCAGUAUAUUCGUUGUGUAUUUUUUUACUUAGAUUGUAAAGUGUCUAUUACAUCUGAUAUAGGUCGUAGUCCUAAUGGUUGUGAUUAUUUAACUGUUACAUGUCAUUGGUUUGAUCAUCACUAGAACAUGCAAAAAUGUAUUAUUGGUUAUAAAUUUGUUGAUUUAAAACACACUGGAGCAUAUAUUGCAACUACUGUUCUACAAAUACUUGAUUUUUAUGGACUCAUUGAUAAAGUUUUAACUAUCACCUUAGAUAAUGCUUUUGCUAACACAACCGCAGCAAAUAGCUUAAAAUCUAGAUUUUAUCCAAUUAAUCUAGCAAUUUUUCAUAUUAGAUGUUGCAGUUGUAAAAGAUGGUCUUAAUUUAUUUUCUGAUGCUUGUAGUAAAAUACAACAUGUUUGUGGCUAUAUUUUUCGUGCUCAUAAACAAAGUAGAAUUCGUGAAUUUGCUCAACAAUGUGCUAGUGCUAACCUUCCAUUUAGAAAAGUUCCAAAAGAUGUUUGUACUAGGUGGAAUUCUACUUAUGAAAUGCUUAAAGUUGCUUAUGAUUAUCGGGUGCUUAUCCAAAAGGUAUUUUAUAUGCAUAAUGGUAUCCCCGUUGAUCAAAUUGUUGAUUCUGAUUGGGAUGAGAUCAAAGAGCUUACUAAAUUUUUACAAAAAUUUUAUUAUGCUACAAAAUAAUUUUCUGGUAUAUAUUAUCCUACUGUUACACAAAUAUUAUGGUAUAUUUGUGAAAUUUCUGUUGUAUUUGGUAAGUAGAAAAUAAAUCUAACUUAUGCACGGGCCAUUAAUGAUAUAACAGGUUUUGAUUCCUCUAUUGAUGAUGAACUUGAUUCUUAUCUUAAGCAAGGAUUGGAAAGUAUUAAAGACGAAGAAGGCAAGAACCACUUUUGUCAUGGUAGAGGGAGCGUGGCAAGGCUUUUCCAACACUUUCAAUAAUGGCCCGAGAUAUCCUGGCUAUUCAAGCAUCAUCAGUAGCAUCGAAGAGUGCUUUUAGCGCAGCAAGAUUUCAAAUUGAAGAUCAUAGACAUGCAUUAGCGGAGGACAGUCUAGAGAUUUCCGUAUUAUUUAGAGAUUGGAUUAAUUCAGAAAGAAGAAAUCUUGGUUUUGAAAAAUUAACCACUAGGGAAGAAGAAGAAUACAAUGAGAUACUUACCACUGGGAGCGAUGACAACAUGGAGCUCAUGAAACAUCAAUCAACAUUGCCAAUUCCAGCAGAAUGUCCGAGAGACAUCAUUGAUAAGUUACAAAGAAGCUAUAUAGGAGCUUACAAAUAUUAGUAUGAUAAUUUGUAAUUUGCUACUAAGAGGCCUAGUUCAAACAGAGCCCUUCCUAGAAGGUGGCUACAUAGAUUAGGUGCUCUUCAAAAGAACUAUAUUUGUAUUUGAGAUUUGAAAGUUCUAUUAAUAAAAUAAAAGGCUCUAAGCGUUGAAUUUUUUUUAUGAAUUGUCUUAGUUACUUAAUAGUUAAUACUUUGAAAUUAUAUUAAAUAAAUUAUAACUCUAUUAUAAAUUUAUAGUUACUAGAAUAUUUCAUUACAAGUCUUUUGUUUUAAUAUUUUAUAAUUCUUUACUUAGUUUUCUAAUUUUCAUUUUAACAUAAUAACAUUUAAGUUUAUUAAAUAAGUCAAAAAUCUAGCCGUUGCAAACUUUAAAAACAUAGUAAUUUUAAAAAAAAUUAGACCUUUUUUUUAAAGAAGAAAUACAGUUAAGGCCCACGAACCCGUCCCGUCCCAUCCCGUCCUAUCCCGUUUGUUAGCGGGACGGGAUGUGACGACCGUUUCAUCCCGUUUGUCCCAUCCCGUUUUGUCCCGUCCCACCACCGUCCCGCUUAAAUGUCGACUCGUCCCGUCCCGUUAAUUUUGUCCUGUCCCGUUGGACAGCCAUGAUUCCAGGUAUGGGUGUGCCACCGUAAAACCCUGAGAGUACACCGGAACCGAUUCCUGUGGGCACGACUUCAUGAAAAGCCCAACACGUUAACUCCGGUCCUCAUAUUAACAAGAGAGCAUGCCAAGAAAUUCAGCGGGAAACUCAGAAAAAUCCAACCUGGGCAAAAGGAGAGAUUCCUCAGCAUGUUGUUCAUAUGAUCAUCGGGGGGACCGACAUUCCCCAAGGACCCAUGAUCAAACGGAUAAAAAUAUCCGCUGCAAUAGAAGGGCCGAUCCGAGACCGCAUGACCGAAGACACUCUUGCAUUCAGUGAGGAAGAUCUCGAGACCUUGACGCCAACACACUGGUAAUUUCAUUUCUUUUAAGUAACAUUCGAAUUAAACGUGUGCUCAUGGAUCCAGGUAGUUCGGCCAAUGUAAUCAGGUCAAAUAGUAGAACAGCUCAGGUUGCUCAAUCAUAUCGUACCCACCUCCUGGGUCCUCCACGGCUUCAAGAUGGCCGAUGAAGUAACGAAAGGGGAGAUCGCCAUUCCGGUUGACAUGUCUGGUACAAUUCAGAAUAGCAAGUUCCACGUCAUCGACGGUGACAUGAGGUACAAUGCAUUGCUUGGCAGGCCGUGGAUACACAACAUGAGGGCAAUGUCGUUAACUCUACACCAGAUGAUGAAGUUUCCAACAAAGGAUGGUAUAACAACCAUAUAUGGAGAACAACAUGCAACAAAAGAAAUGUUCGCGAUUUACCAGGAGGCACCGAAUCCUAUACACUCUACCUUGGAUGAUUCGGGAAACGUACAGACCCCCGAGGGUGAUGAAGAAGAUUUCCUCGCUCCUCGAACUUUCGUUGCCCCGAAGAGCCGGAUGCAACAAAAUCGACAAUUGAAGAGCUGGAGCAAGCUAUUUUGAUCGAACGUCUCCCAGAUCGGAAGGUAUACCUGGGAACAGGAUUAAACCCCGAACUCAGGAAAAAACUCAUUCAAUUCCUUAUUAAUAACAUCGACUGUUUCGCUUGGUCCCACUUAGAUAUGACAGGAAUCCCGUCGGAAAUAACCACCCAUCGACUAAGUGUCGACCCCAGAUUCAAACCGGUGAAGUAAAAAAGAAGACCCCAAUCCAAAUUAAAACACGCAUUCAUCAAGGACGAGGUAACAAAACUCCUUAAAAUAGGGUCCAUUAGAGAGGUAAAGUACCCCGAAUGGCUGGCCAACGUAGUGGUAGUGCCCAAAAAGGGAAAUAAGUUAAGAAUGUGCAUAGAUUAUAAAGAGUUAAGUAAGGCGUGCUCCAAGGAUUCAUUCCCAUUGCCUAAUAUCGAUCGUCUGAUCGAUGCCACGGCCAGACACGAGACCCUCACUUUUCUCGACGCCUACUCGGGGUAUAAUCAAAUUCAGAUGAACCCCGGGGAUAGGGAAAAGACUUCAUUCAUCACGAAGUAUGGUACCUACUGUUACAAUGUAAUGCCCUUCGGGCUGAAAAACGCAGGGACUACGUACCAACAUCUAGUUAAUAAAAUGUUUGAGCAUCAAAUAGGCAAAUCCAUGGAUGUUUAUAUUGAUGACAUGCUAGUUAAGUCCAUGCGCGCAGAGGACUAUUUGCCUCAUUUGCAGGAAACAUUCGACAUCCUCAGAAGUUACAACAUGAAGUUUAAUCCCGAUAAAUGUGCCUUCGGAGUGGGUUCGGGCAAAUUCUUAGGCUUCAUGGUGUCGAACAGGGGGAUCGAGAUCAACCCCGACAAAAUCAAGGCCAUCAAAGAAAUCAUGCUGAUAAAUAAUAUAAAGGUCGUGCAACGGCUGACAGGGCGGAUAGCGUUCUGGGCAAAUUCAUAUAAAGGUCAUCAAACAAGAGUCAUCAUUUCAUCUCUUUACUCAAAAAGAAAAAUAACUUUGAAUGGACUCCAAAAUGCCAACACGCUUUGGAGGAAUUGAAGAGAUAUCUGACUAGUCUGCCUUUGCUCCACACACCAAAAGAGGAUGAAAUGCUGUAUUUAUACCUGUCCAUAUCUGAGAUAGCAGUGAGCGGUGUGCUAGUUCGAGAAGAUCAAGGUACGCAAUUCCCUAUUUAUUAUGUAAGUCGAACCCUAGGGGAACCAGGUAUCUGCACCUAGAAAAAUUAGCUCUUGCGUUAAUAAAUGUAUCGCGAAAAUUGAAACCUUAUUUUCAAUGCCAUCGUAUUUUCAUUUUAACAACGUACCCUCUCCGAAGCAUACUGCGUAAGCCCUAACUAUCGGGCCGAUUGUCCAAAUGGGCCAUCAAACUCGGGGUGUAUGAUAUCGAGUAUCAACCCCGAACGGCUAUCAAGUCUCAAAUUCUGGAGAACUUCGUGGCCGACUUCUCGCGCUCCCUCGUGCUGGAGGUAGAAAAGGAAAUUUUACUAAAAAUGGGCACAUUUUCUAUAGUGUGGACACUGUUCACUGACAGCGCCAUUAACAUAAGAAGAUCCAGAGUCGGUAUAGUCCUAUAACCGCCUACGGGUGGCACCAUCAGGCAAUCUAUAAAAAAUGCGAGAUUGACUAACAACGAAGCCGAGUGUGAGGCUAUGAUUGCAGGUUUGGAAUUAGCCAAAAGCCUGGGAGCUGAGAUCGUCGAAGCAAAAUGCGAUACACUCCUGGUAGUAAAUCAGGUAAAUGGGAGCUUCGAGGUCCGGGAUGCGAAGAUACUUGAACAAAAUCCAAGUCACAUUAUGCCUUUUCAAAGAAUGGACCCUGGUCCACAUACCUCGGGAGCAGAACAGCGAGGUUGAUGCCCUUGCAAACCUGGUAUCAUCUGUUGAAGAAGAUGACCUACUCCCCGGGGAUGUUGUUCAGUUAUCCAAAUCAGUGGUCGAGGAAGGUCAUGCCGAGAUUAAUUCCACUACCCUAACAUAGUAUUGGAGGAACAAAUAUAUGACUAUUUUAAAGAAGGGAAACUACCCACGGGUCCAAGGGAAUCGAGGGCCCUGCGAACCAAAGCAGGCCGGUUCUCGCUCGAUAAAAACGGGACUCUGUAUCACACCUCCUUUUUCUACCCUGAAAGGGUAUAGGGGAGUUUUUCCAAUUAAAGUGACAAUAACCGAAACAUGAUUAUUUAUAUUUAUUCAGAGUCGCCACUUGGGAUAAUUUAUGGUGUCCCAAGUCACCGGUUUAAAAUUUCGAAUCGAGGAAGUUUGACUCUGUUUACAGUCUAUGAACACAAAAAUCUGGGUAAGGAAUUCUGUUAACCCGGGAGAAGGUGUUAGGCAUUUCCGGGUUCCGUGGUUUUAGCACGGUCGCUCAACUAUUACUAUUGGCCUAAUUAUCUGAUUGAUUACACAUUUUAAACCUACGUGUAUUUUUAAACUUUUUAACUGCUUUUAAUAUUCUUUAGGAAAAUUCAUGAUUGCCAUAUACUUGUUUGUUUUUGAAAAAUACAUCGUAAACCACGCUACAUGAAAUGCACCCGCGGUUCAUGAUAUAUUUAUUUAUUUAUUUAACAUUAUUGGAAAUUAAGGUCGGGUCACAUGAAAUGCACACCCGAUUAGCAUUUACGACAUGUUUAUUUUAUUAUUAAUAUUCAAAGCUAUGGUUGGGUCACAUGAAAUGCACACCCAAAUUUGGAUUUAUCUAUCAUGUCUAUGCCACGGGAACCGUACUCGUAGUUACGAUGAUUUGUUAUUAAUCGUGUCUAAAGCAAGCUACGAUGUUCUAUUGAUUCAUUAUUUCUAAGUUCGGGGAUUUUGUGAAGCUACUAAUUAAAGCUAAUUGUGUUUCAAAUGUACCACUUAUUAUAUAUUACUAGAAUUAAAACUGAAGGUUCCAAAUUAUAAAAUAAAAUAAAAAAUAGCUAUGGCUGCGUUCAUGUAAAAAAAAUCAACUCACUACUGGAAGAAACCUUUCAAUAUCUAUUACUCCAUCUAUGAUCAUAAUUGCUCAACUUCCUGAAUUUAGUUCAGUAUAAUAACCGCAAAGUUUUUGCCGAACAACUAAAUAACCAUAUAUUACAUUCCCAGUGCACCCCCUUUAUACCUAUCAUGCGACAAAAUUAACAGCUAAAAUAAACUAUACCUAAAGUAUUUCAAAUAAUAGAGUAAGAAAGAAAAGCUAUGAGAAACAGUUAAAACAAAAUAAACACAAACAUAUGUUAUGAUUCACAAUAAGAACCAAUCGAAAAACAUACUUGUUCACAUCAUCAUUUCAAUUCUGCCCUUCCAAUAACAAAACCGUAUUCACACCCGCAUCCCGACCCGGAAGCAUCAACGACUCGCCACCUCGGACGGACUCAGAUCGAUAAGAUUUUGGAUGAUGAUUUCGGGCUGAUUUUGCUGAGUUUCAACUAGAAAACAGGGCUUUUUUCGCUGGAGUUUAGAGCUAAUUUUGGGACUAUUUGGUACCUUUUCGCUGCUGUUUUUUGGUUGAGUUUCGACUUCUUUUUGUCCAGAUUUUUUACUAGUCUUGGAGCUUCUUGCUGCUGGCUUUUGGUGCAAAAGAGGUGGUGUUUUGGGGUGGGACAAAUUUCUGUGAAAUUAUGGUGAAGCUCGGCGACUGACUUCUAGGGCUGAGGUGUUUGGGGAAGACGACUGUGUAUUUUUUGUUAAGAGACUUGUGAUCGUUUUGUUAAGAAGAAGAAGCUGGAUUGGGGUUGGAGAGGAUGGAGUGCAGGGGACAACUUAGGGGUCUAUUGUGUAUUGCGGCUGCUAUCUUUUUUUGUUCUCUAGGUCUCUUUAAGAAGAAGAAGG